UUAAAGUCUAACCUGCCCACUGAAAUUUUAAAUGGCCGCAGUAUUUUGACUGUGCAAAGGUAGCAUAAUCAUUAGUCUUUUAAUUGAAGGCUGGAAUGAAUGGUUGGACGAAAUAUUAACUGUUUCAUUUAAAUUUUUUAUAGAAUUUUAUUUUUUAGUCAAAAAGCUAAAAUAAUUUUAAAAGACGAGAAGACCCUAUAAAUCUUUAUAUUUUUUUAUUUUAAUUGUUAAGAUUAAUUUUAUUUUAAUAAAUAAAAAUAUUUUAUUGGGGUGAUAUUAAAAUUUAAAAAACUUUUAAUUUUUAAAAACAUUAAUUUAUGAAUAAUUGAUCCAUUAAUAAUGAUUAAAAAAUUAAGUUACUUUAGGGAUAACAGCGUAAUUUUUUUGGAGAGUUCAUAUCGAUAAAAAAGAUUGCGACCUCGAUGUUGGAUUAAGAUAUAAUUUUGGGUGUAGCCGUUCAAAUUUUAAGUCUGUUCGACUUUUAAAUUCUUACAUGAUCUGAGUUCAAACCGGUGUAAGCCAGGUUGGUUUCUAUCUUUAAAAAAUUAUAAUAUUUUAGUACGAAAGGACCAAAUAUUAGAAUAAUCAUAUUUUAAAAAAGAAUAUUAUUAAUAUAA
rnacentral:rRNA from 1 species